CCGCCUCGAUCCGCCCUGACAAGGACAGUAAAUGGUAGAAAAUAAACAAAUUCGUGGCGGAAAACGGGAUAAAUUUUACGAUCCUAGAUGGAUUCGGAGCAGAAAACGGAAGAAAUUUUGACCCGCCUCAAAUCCGUCCCGAAUCCGCCCCGCCAUGAUCUGCUCUGAAUCCGCCCCAAAAAUUAUUUAUAUUUUAAAAAAAUGUUCUUAAAAAGUAAUAUAUUUACAAAAAAGUUCAAAAUACAAAUAAGUUAGUACUCUCAUUUCUAAUGUACAUUUGAAACUUUUGAAUUUUAUUUUGAAUUGUGAUUGAUAUUUUUUAUUUUUAUAAUUGAUAUUGUUAAAUUAUAUAUGUAAUAUUAUUAAAAAUUAUUAAUUUAUAUUUUAUAAAAUAUUAAUAAUAUUACAAUUUUAUAAAAAAUAUUAGCUGGCGGGGCAGAUUCGGGGUGCCGGUGGGAGGCGGGUUAUGAGGCGGGGCAGAUUAUGGAAUAUAUUUUUUAACUCUCACGGAUUCGGGGCGGGAGGUGGGGCAGAAUUUUGCUAGUCGGGGCGGGAGGCCGGGUGGGGCUCCCGCCCUCAUAUCCGUUCUGUUUGCAUCCCUAAGCCCGGAUCCAUUUGUCUCCCUAGCUAGGGCAUGCCACAUGACACCACUAUAAAUCACCACUAGAGUUCCCUAUUUGCUACAUUGAUAAAUCAUAGCUCCUCACUCUUUCUCCCUCUACAACAAAAGGCAAAAAUCUACAGAGAGAAAGAGAGAGAGUGAGUGUGUGUCCAAAUGGCACAAAACUCCACCACCCGCUCAAGCAAUAGAGUCAGCUCUGUGGCCUCUAUCGCCACUACUGUCAGCCACCAUUACCAGCACCCGAGCUGCGGCCUCGGACGCCUCAUCAGAAAACUAAAGAAGCAAAGCAAAUUGCUUUGCAUGACCCCUGCAAGGCCCAGGAGUAGUGCAUUCCACUGCCAAUAUGAUCCUCUUAGCUAUGCGCGCAAUUUCGACCGCAGCGGCUUUGGCACCGCUCUCGACGAUGAUUCGACACACUUCUACUAUACCUUCUCGUCGCGGUUCGUCGCCGUCUCGUCGCGAGUAUCUCCGUCAGAUUAAGAUUAUCUCUUCUUUUUUUUUUUUGUUUAGUGGAUAAGUUGUGAGUUUGGGUGAUUAAGAGUAUGAGAGAUGUUGUUAAUAUGCAGUUUUUGUUAGCUUCAUAUAUGUUAAACAAGGAGGAUGAGUUAAUGCUGGAAUUUUUGUUCUGAAAAUUUGGAAUGAAUGGUUUUUGGCAUUGCUUAUAAUAUUUUAUAAUUUCGUAAAAAUUGAAAAUUACUAUUCUCAAUUAUUGUAAUGUAAUUAUGAGUUAAUAUGGUUCCAUUGCUUUGUAAUAUAUUUAAUUUUGCAAUGAAUAUUGUAAUAGAG
rnacentral:lncRNA from 1 species